GGGUCCUGGCCCCCUGCUUUAAUAAACCACCAUUUUGCACCAAAGACAUCUCAAGAAUUCUUUCUUGGUCGUCAGCUCCGGACUCCACCCCAUUGAACCUCACCUAGAUUCCAAAACCCCAUCACUUAUGUUUGGUUUGAUCCAAAUGUCAAGGGCCAGUUUGUUGCCCAACCAGUGUUUUUUGUCAGCCUGCCUACAAGCCUGCCCUUUGUCUAAAACGACUAAGAGUGAGGUAGAGGAGACGCAGUCACUCCGUGCAACAAGAGUGUGCCACCCGCCUCGGUUAAGUGUCAUGGGGUAGGGAAUGGCUUUGGAGUGAAACUGACUUCAGUUUAAAUUCCAGUUUGCCCCUUACUCCAUGUGUGACUUUGAACAAGUUUCACUGACUUUCCUGAGCCUCAAAGUUGUCAUCUAUAAAUGGCAAUAAUAAUAACAGCUGCCUUCCGAAGUCACUGUGAAGAUUAAAUCAGUUAAAAUGUGUAAAGUACUUAACCACAGUCCUUGUUGUGUAGUAAAUUCUCAGUAAAUGACAGUUGUUAUCAUUAUCAGUACCUUUAUUAUACAAUCCUCUGUAGAGGGUAGGCAGGGAGAAGUGUGGUACUGCUUUCCUGUCAUCAAGGGACUCCUUUUCCAAAGGUAAGUGUACUAUCAGGGUGCUUGUCCAAACCAUAGAACACAGGCAAUUAUUUCAGUAACUGUUUUCACAAUUGUCCAAGGAUGGGCGCUAACUGGUGCCAUUCUUUGCCUAGGAGAGAUGUUAAUUCAUUAUGCAAAGUAUGCCUUAGGGCAUUAAUUCUCUCCCUUAGAGAAUGGCACAGUGACCCCCACAUUAUGGCCUAAACUCAUUGGGCUAGUGCGCUGGAAAUGUAUUUUUAGAAUCAGUAAUGAAGUUUAUAAGACACUUAGUGACAUAUAAAAUAAAAGAAAGUUUUCUUUAUAUAGACCCUUUUAACUGUUUUGUGCCUGUAAGAUAUAGGGAAAAAUUUUGUGGUCAAAAGGCUGCUGGACUAGAAGUUAGAAGACUGACUAAACAGCUUACUCUGGGAAAAACUAAGGAUGGUUACUCACAUAGGUGUUGAGAGCUUCUAACACCCCUAUAAUGAGGGUAAGACCCAUCCUGUUGACAGUACCAAUUGUUGAGUGUUUUAUUUUUAUUUUUAUUUAUUUUAUUUUUUUUCUUGAGUGUUUUAAGUCACAUCAUAUAUUUGAAAGUGUUACACAAUUUAUAAAGUGCUAUACAGUUCUGAGUUAUUAUGAAGAUGAUUAUUCUGUUUGACUGCCCUCCUGCUUCCUUUACCAGAUGACACUAAUCAGCCCAGAUGUCUAAGAGCAACUCGACUGUUUCAGAAAUGAGGAAAUGAGUGGCUUUAGUUAAAAUUGCCCAACUUUUAUCUGUUCUUUUCCUGUCUUUCAUUCUUGUGCUGCUGGGCUUCCCUUGGCCUUUUCAUUGACUAUGAAAGAUGUAUUCAUGUGAUACCAGUUGCUAUUUCUAACUGCUUUUCUGAAAAUUGUUAAAAACUCAAAGCAUCUGUCCUCUCUGUCAGGCCACUUAACCAAGCUCUAGGAUCAUGGGAAAUAGCCCAGAAAGCCCAGAUGAGUCUUUUAAUGUGCUGAAUGGAAUUAUCUUUUGAUUUGUCUUUGCAGGUUGGAAGCAUGAGUGAAUUUAGCUAUUAUUUCCUUUUUUGGAUGUGAGCUAGCUACUUUAAAAAAUUGAGUCUGUAUUUUCUACUAGAUUUCCCUUCUGGACACUUGGGUACUCCCUCUAUUCAGAGCAUCAGAAACCAAGGGACUUCAACUUAUGAAACUGAAGCAGUCCCUUUCUGGCUCCCUCAGGAAAAAGCUGAACAAACAGAUGGGCCUUCCUUGGAAUGUCAACCAACAAGAGCCCUGCUUCUGCUGACAGAGAUGAAUCCGAAGAAACCUUGCAAAUGUCCCUAUAGUCAGCAACCUGUGCUUUGUGCAAAAUAGGCUCUAGACAGAGAUUUGUUAAAUCAAAUUCUGUAAAAAGCAUAACUCUAUUUCCUGAGUUAGUUUAAGAUGUAUCUUGGAAUUUUAACAUUUCUUUCUUUUUAAAACAUUAUUAUAAUCAUUAAGAAUGAGCCAACUUGAUUUCAUAGUGAAUUACCCAUCUCUUGUCUUUUUCUCCAGAGUCUUAAUCAUUUCUGUCAAAGAGAUGAGCCAGGAACACCUUGUUAAUGCCAAAAUGGCUAGAAUGUCCUGGCUUUGGAGGUAUUCUCUAUAGUAGGCUGCACCAUAUGACAUUGCCAAUAUUUGACUAUUUUUUACUUUCAAAGAUGGUAGUUUUACAGUCAACAAAACCAAAAGACAACUCACAGAA